GCUGUUGGUUGAUCUCUCUUUCUCUCCUCUCAGGCUCAUGGUUGUCGUCGUGAGCCAUCCUCUCCGGUGGAGAACGUGCAAACACACGACCUCCUCUCUUCAUCUAUGGCAGUACUCACCACGUAAAUGAGGGAAACCCUGAUUAGGUUUCCUUUAAAUGCAUGUUCUUCUGGCUUUUAAAUCUCCACCGAGAGAUCUAGGUCAUUCGAUCAAAGUGAGUAUAAAAACGUCUUUUUAUGUCCAAGAUGUGAUCUUAGCCAUUGGAUUUGGACCCCCUAUAUCAUAGCUGCAUGAUCUAGGGUUUCAUUAAUAACAAUUUAGUUAUUUUGCACCCUUGAAAUCACAGCCACUUGAUUAGAUCUAUACACGAUUUGGGUCGUUCGUUCAAAAACACGGUGGGAAGGAUCUUUAGUUAUUGAAUCGUGCCUAGGCAAGAACCUUUCC
rnacentral:lncRNA from 1 species